ACGAACGCUGGCGGCAUGCCUAACACAUGCCAGUCGAACCAGACCUUCGGGUCUAGUGGCGCACGGGUGCGUCACGCGUGGGAACCUGCCCUUAGGUUCGGAAUAACUCCCCGAAAGGGGUGCUAAUACCGGAUAAUGUCUUCGGACCAAAGAUUUAUCGCCUUUGGAUGGGCCCGCGUUGGAUUAGCUAGUUGGUAGGGUAAAAGCCUACCAAGGCGACGAUCCAUAGCUGGUCUGAGAGGAUGAUCAGCCACACUGGGACUGAGACACGGCCCAGACUCCUACGGGAGGCAGCAGUGGGGAAUAUUGGACAAUGGGCGAAAGCCUGAUCCAGCAAUGCCGCGUGAGUGAUGAAGGCCUUAGGGUUGUAAAGCUCUUUUACCCGGGAUGAUAAUGACAGUACCGGGAGAAUAAGCUCCGGCUAACUCCGUG
rnacentral:rRNA from 1 species